AACGAACGCUGGCGGCAUGCCUAACACAUGCAAGUCGAACGAGACCUUCGGGUCUAGUGGCGCACGGGUGCGUAACGCGUGGGAAUCUGCCCUUGGGUUCGGAAUAACAGUUGGAAACGACUGCUAAUACCGGAUGAUGACGUAAGUCCAAAGAUUUAUCGCCCAAGGAUGAGCCCGCGUAGGAUUAGCUAGUUGGUGAGGUAAAGGCUCACCAAGGCGACGAUCCUUAGCUGGUCUGAGAGGAUGAUCAGCCACACUGGGACUGAGACACGGCCCAGACUCCUACGGGAGGCAGCAGUGGGGAAUAUUGGACAAUGGGCGAAAGCCUGAUCCAGCAAUGCCGCGUGAGUGAUGAAGGCCUUAGGGUUGUAAAGCUCUUUUACCCGGGAUGAUAAUGACGGUACCGGGAGAAUAAGCUCCGGCUAACUCCGUG
rnacentral:rRNA from 1 species